UCCUAGUUCAGUUGGUUAAGAGCAUGGUGCUGAUAACGCCUAGGUCGUGGGUUUGAUCCCUGCCUAUUCCCAUGUUGGGAA